rnacentral:rRNA from 1 species
AUUGAACGCUGGCGGCAGGCCUAACACAUGCAAGUCGAACGAGUGGCGGACGGGUGAGUAAUGUCUGGGAAACUGCCUGAUGGAGGGGGAUAACUACUGGAAACGGUAGCUAAUACCGCAUACCAUCGGAUGUGCCCAGAUGGGAUUAGCUAGUAGGUGGGGUAACGGCUCACCUAGGCGACGAUCCCUAGCUUGUCUGAGAGGAUGCCCAGCCACAUGGGAACUGAUACACGGGCCAGACUCCUACGUGAGGCAGCAGUGGGGAAGAUUGCACAAUGGGCGCAAGCCUGAUGCAGCCAUGCCGCGUGUAUGAAGAAGGCCUUCGGGUUGUAAAGUACUUUCAGCGGGGAGGCGUUACCCCAAGAAGAAGCACCGGCGAACUCCGUGUCAGCAGCCGCGGUAAUAC